AACGAACGCUGGCGGCAGGCCUAACACAUGCAAGUCGAGCGCUCUCUUCGGAGGGAGCGGCGGACGGGUUAGUAACGCGUGGGAACGUACCCUUCUCUACGGAAUAGCCUCGGGAAACUGAGAGUAAUACCGUAUACGCCCUUUGGGGGAAAGAUUUAUCGGAGAAGGAUCGGCCCGCGUUGGAUUAGGUAGUUGGUGGGGUAACGGCCUACCAAGCCUACGAUCCAUAGCUGGUUUGAGAGGAUGAUCAGCAACACUGGGACUGAGACACGGCCCAGACUCCUACGGGAGGCAGCAGUGGGGAAUCUUAGACAAUGGGCGCAAGCCUGAUCUAGCCAUGCCGCGUGAGUGACGAAGGCCUUAGGGUCGUAAAGCUCUUUCGCCAGGGAUGAUAAUGACAGUACCUGGUAAAGAAACCCCGGCUAACUCCGUGCCAGCCGCCGCCGUAAUAC
rnacentral:rRNA from 1 species